UAUCAGGAGUUGAACGGUAAAGCUAGAGAUGCAGUUAUUGUGUUGAUUGAACAAGAACGUGAGGGUGAGCAGAUCGACAGGGGUCUACUGAAGAAUGUGCUCGACAUAUUUGUUGGAAUUGGCAUGGGGGAAAUGGAGUAUUAUGAGAAUGAUUUUGAAGAAGCGAUGCUUAAAGAUACUGCAGCUUAUUAUUCUCGGAAAGCUUCAAGUUGGAUUGUGG
rnacentral:misc_RNA from 1 species